GACGAACGCUGGCGGCGUGCUUAACACAUGCAAGUCGAACGGGAAGGCCCUGCUUUUGUGGGGUGCUCGAGUGGCGAACGGGUGAGUAACACGUGAGUAACCUGCCCUUGACUUUGGGAUAACUUCAGGAAACUGGGGCUAAUACCGGAUAGGAGCUCCUGCUGCAUGGUGGGGGUUGGAAAGUUUCGGCGGUUGGGGAUGGACUCGCGGCUUAUCAGCUUGUUGGUGGGGUAGUGGCUUACCAAGGCUUUGACGGGUAGCCGGCCUGAAAGGGUGACCGGCCACAUUGGGACUGAGAUACGGCCCAGACUCCUACGGGAGGCAGCAGUGGGGAAUAUUGCACAAUGGGCGGAAGCCUGAUGCAGCAACGCCGCGUGCGGGAUGACGGCCUUCGGGUUGUAAACCGCUUUCGCCUGUGACGAAGCGUGAGUGACGGUAAUGGGUAAAGAAGCACCGGCUAACUACGUG
rnacentral:rRNA from 1 species